rnacentral:rRNA from 1 species
AUUGAACGCUGGCGGCAGGCUUAACACAUGCAAGUCGAACGAUGAUAUCUAGCUUGCUAGAUUUGAUUAGUGGCGGACGGGUGAGUAACAUUUAGGAAUCUACCUAGUAGUGGGGGAUAGCUCGGGGAAACUCGAAUUAAUACCGCAUACGACCUACGGGUGAAAGGGGGCGCAAGCUCUUGCUAUUAGAUGAGCCUAAAUCAGAUUAGCUAGUUGGUGGGGUAAAGGCCCACCAAGGCGACGAUCUGUAACUGGUCUGAGAGGAUGAUCAGUCACACCGGAACUGAGACACGGUCCGGACUCCUACGGGAGGCAGCAGUGGGGAAUAUUGGACAAUGGGGGCAACCCUGAUCCAGCCAUGCCGCGUGUGUGAAGAAGGCCUUUUGGUUGUAAAGCACUUUAAGCAGGGAGGAGAGGCUAAUGGUUAAUACCCAUUAGAUUAGACGUUACCUGCAGAAUAAGCACCGGCUAACUCUGUGCCAGCAGCCGCGGUAAUACAGAGGGUGCGAGCGUUAAUCGGAAUUACUGGGCGUAAAGCGAGUGUAGGUGGCUCAUUAAGUCACAUGUGAAAUCCCCGGGCUUAACCUGGGAACUGCAUGUGAUACUGGUGGUGCUAGAAUAUGUGAGAGGGAAGUAGAAUUCCAGGUGUAGCGGUGAAAUGCGUAGAGAUCUGGAGGAAUACCGGUGGCGAAGGCAGCUUCCUGGCAUAAUAUUGACACUGAGAUUCGAAAGCGUGGGUAGCAAACAGG